GUGCUCGCUUCGGCAGCACAUAUACUAAAAUUGGAACGAUACAGAGAAGAUUAGCAUGGCCCCUGCGCAAGUAAAGGUGAAUGUGUGUGGCAAAGAAGUCCUCU